rnacentral:rRNA from 1 species
UUCCGGUUGAUCCCGCCGGACCCCACUGCUAUCGAGAUGGGACUAAGGUAUGCUAGUCGAACGACCAGAACUAUGUCUGGGAGUGGCACACUGCUCAGUAACACGUAGCUAACCUACCCUUAGGACGUGGAUACCCCCGAGAAAUUGGGGUUAAUCCGCGAUAGAUGUAAUGUCCUGGAAUGGUAUUACGUCUAAAGGUAUUUCAUACAUGUUUGAAAUAUGCCUAAGGAUGGGGCUGCGGCCGAUCAGGCUGUUGGUGAGGUAAUGGCUCACCAAACCUUUGACCGGUACGGGCCAUGAGAGUGGUAGCCCGGAGAUGGACACUGAGACAAGGGUCCAGGCCCUAAGGGGCGCAGCAACCGCGAAACCUCCACAAUGCACUCACGUGCGAUGGGGCUAUCUCGAGUGCCACCUGAUGAAGGUGGCUUUUCCUAGGUCUUCAAAGCCUUGGGAAUAAGAGGGGGGCAAGACUGGUGUCAGCCGCCGCGGUAACACCAGCCCCUCGAGUGGUGGGGAUGAUUAUUUGGCCUAAAGCGUCCGUAGCCGGCCGAGCAAGUCUUCCGUUAAAUCCAGCGUCUCAAGCGUUGGACUGCGGGAGAUACUGCAGGGCUAGAGAGUGGGAGAGGUCAGCGGUAUUCUGGGGGUAGGGGCGAAAUCCUUUGAUCCCCGGAGGACCACCAGUGGCGAAGGCUGCUGACUAGAACACGUCUGACGGUCAGGGACGAAAGCUGGGGUAGCGAACCGGAUUAGAUACCCGGGUAGUCCCAGCCGUAAACGAUGCAUGCUAGGUGUUGGGUUGGCCACGCGC